UACAGAGGGGGCAAGCGUUGUUCGGAAUUACUGGGCGUAAAGGGCUCGUAGGCGGCCAACUAAGUCAUACGUGAAAUCCCUCGGCUUAACCGGGGAACUGCGUCUGAUACUGGAUGGCUUGAGUUCGGGAGAGGGAUGCGGAAUUCCAGGUGUAGCGGUGAAAUGCGUAGAUAUCUGGAGGAACACCGGUGGCGAAGGCGGCAUCCUGGACCGACACUGACGCUGAGGAGCGAAAGCCAGGGGAGCAAACGGG
rnacentral:rRNA from 1 species